GUAACCGCUCCGUUGGCAUAUUGGUUAGUGCAUCCGCCUCACAUGCGGGAGGUCGCGGGUUCUAUCCCCUGUCGAGUUAUA